rnacentral:pre_miRNA from 1 species
AUUGUACUCCCUCUGUUCGAAAUUACUUGUCGCAGAAAUGCAUGUAUCUAUACGUAUUUUAGUUCUAAAUACAUUCAUUUCCGAGACAAGUAAUUCCAAACGGAGGGAGUACAUG